UACGGGGGAGCAAGCGUUGUCGGAUUACUGGCGUAAGGGCGCGUAGGCGGCGUGACAAGUCACUUGUGAAAUCUCCGGGCUUAACUCGGAACGGUCAAGUGAUACGUGUCGUGCUAGAGUACAGAAGGGCAAUGGAAUUCUCGGUGGUAGCGGUGAGAUGCGUAGAUAUCGAGAGGAACACCUGCGGCGAAGCGGUGCUGGCUGAUGACUGACGUGAGGCGCGAAGCUAGGGAGCGAACGGGAUAGA
rnacentral:rRNA from 1 species